CGGGGUGUGGCGCAGCUUGGCAGCGCGCUUGGUUUGGGACCAAGAGGCCGGGGGUUCAAAUCCCCCCACCCCGACCA
rnacentral:tRNA from 2 species